GGGCAAGCGUUGUUCGGAAUUACUGGGCGUAAAGGGUUCGUAGGUGGCCAACUAAGUCAGACGUGAAAUCCCUCAGCUUAACUGGGGAACUGCGUCUGAUACUGGUUGGCUUGAGUGCAGGAGAGGAACGCGGAAUUCCAGGUGUAGCGGUGAAAUGCGUAGAUAUCUGGAGGAACCCCGGUGGCGAAGGCGGCGUUCUGGACUGCAACUGACACUGAGGAACGAAAGCCAGGGGAGCAAACGGG
rnacentral:rRNA from 1 species